AUGUUUAAAAUCUGCCAACUGAGCUGCCAACCUAGGCUGUGCUUUGAGGCAUCAUAAGCACAUUCCCGACACCAGGAACUGACUUCCCAAAGACAUUUCAUGCUGAGGCUACCACAAACAACAUGCGGCAAGACAGACUAGCACAUAGCACAACUGUGAAAAAUGCAAUGAAGCCCUCUGGUCCACUUGUCCUUGUGAGCCUGACGUCAAUCAAGUGCAAACCACUUGUCUCUGCAGCCCUCCAUCUCGUCCAGAUGCUGUGUGUGAGUGUGUGGUGCCAGUGGUAAUUGGAAUGCAGCAUGUGACUCUGGGCUACAGAGAGAGCUGUCUGAUGAGCCCAUUUGUCUCAGAGCGCCAUAGCAGCUCCGCUCCUCCCCCCUGCCACUAACUGCAGUGUUCGGCUGCGUGCAUUAUCUGCAAAUGGAGAGCCGGGACGCCACACUUCACUUUCUCUAUCGCAUUGAUCCUGUAGUAAGAGACAGCUUCUUUCACACUGACUGUUUGAUCAAUCUCAUAUUGUGCUUGUAUGGUACAUUCAGACACCGAGAACAAUAGGAGGAAGAUCAAGAGAGACAAGACAAUACUAUAAUACCAUUUUUAAU